rnacentral:rRNA from 1 species
AGUGAACGCUGGCGGCAGGCCUAACACAUGCAAGUCGAACGGCAACACAGUUAAAGCUUGCUCUUAGCUGUGGCGUGUCGCGUACGUGUGUGGUAUCCAUCGGACUCCAUUUUGUCGUGGUCGAUCACCUGGGGAAACUUACUCUUAUACCACAUCCUCGCUAGGGGUGAGAGCGGGAGCUUCUCGCCUCUUGCGCGCUUGCAUGCCCCGAUGUCUUAUUAGCUAGUUGGCGGGGUAAAGUCCCACCGAGGCGCAGACCCCUAGCUGGUCUGAGAGGAUGAACAGCGACACUGGAACUGAGACACGGUCCAGACUCCGAGGGGAGGCAGCAGUGGGGAAUAUUGGACAAUGGGCGCAAGACUGAUCAAGCCAUGCCGGGUGGAUGAAGAAGGCCUUCGGGUUGUAAAGCACUUUUGGGGGGGAAGAAAGGAAGAAGGUUAAUACCCGGAUGUAUUGACGGUACCCGAAGAAGAAGCACCGGCUAACUUCGUG